GGGCCAGACUCCUACGGGAGGCAGCAGUGAGGAAUAUUGGUCAAUGGGCGCGAGCCUGAACCAGCCAAGUAGCGUGAAGGAUGACUGCCCUACGGGUUGUAAACUUCUUUUAUAAAGGAAUAAAGUGAGGCACGUGUGCCUUUUUGUAUGUACUUUAUGAAUAAGGAUCGGCUAACUCCGUGCCAGCAGCCGCGGUAAUACGGAGGAUCCGAGCGUUAUCCGGAUUUAUUGGGUUUAAAGGGAGCGUAGAUGGGUUGUUAAGUCAGUUGUGAAAGUUUGCGGCUCAACCGUAAAAUUGCGAUUGAUACUGGCAGCCUUGAGUACAGUUGAGGUAGGCGGAAUUCGUGGUGUAGCGGUGAAAUGCUUAGAUAUAACUUAGAACUCCGAUAGCGAAGGCAGCUUACCAGACUGCGACUGACGCUGAAGCACGAGAGCGUGGGUAGCGAACAGGAUUAGAUACCCCAGUAC
rnacentral:rRNA from 1 species